rnacentral:tmRNA from 1 species
GGGGAUGUUUUGGUUUUGACAGCAUUGAUGUCGGACAGUAAGCACGCCGGGCUUCGGAAGCAGGCCCGUUAAACUCAGUUUCCAAACAAUUAGUAGGCAACUACAACUAUUCAUACGCUUGCUAAUCCUCCAAGAGGAAGGCAUUAAUCGGAGCCGCCUAGGCUGCGGCACCGACGUAUAUCCCUCCGUCCUUUAGGCCGGUUAUGGACGGGACCAGGGGUAUCAUCCAAACCGGAUGCACGGAGCGAUUCUCCUAAGCUCCGCCAAGACUCAGGAGAUAAGCUGCAAAUAGUCCGUCUUCCAGCGGUUUGCAGCCGACAACCAUUGGAAGAAUAAGCGUGUAGAAAGCUCUCCGGUGCUUUGUUUGGACGGCGGUUCGAGUCCGCCCAUCUCCACGA